rnacentral:rRNA from 1 species
UACGUAGGGGGGCUAGCGUUGUCCGGAUUUAUUGGGCGUAAAGAGCGUGUAGGCGGCCAGGUAGGUCUGGUGUGAAAACUCGAGGCUUAACCUCGAGAUGUCAUCGGAAACCAUCUGGCUAGAGUCCGGAAGAGGAAAGUGGAAUUCCUGGUGUAGCGGUGAAAUGCGCAGAUAUCAGGAAGAACACCAAUGGCGAAAGCAGCUUUCUGGGACGGUACUGACGCUGAGACGCGAAAGCGUGGGGAGCGAACAGG